rnacentral:lncRNA from 1 species
AAUGAAUUGCAAAUAUUAAUAGUGCUACCAGUAUCCAAUACUCAGAUCAUUAUAUCAAAAAUAGAGAAGUUACAAGGUAUUAUCAUAUAAGUACUUUGUCCAGCAACUGAUUUCUUCUUCUUCUUUGACCUGUUCGAGUCAAGAGAAGAUAUAUAUUGAGGACAGUUUCUCUUUCAGUGCCCUGCUUCUUGUAAUAGAAGCACUCUAUCUGAC